rnacentral:sRNA from 1 species
GGAAUGCCGAAUCAGGCGCUUAUAAUGUCACCCGCUCUGGCGACAGCUAUAUUCUGGUUAACUUCUAUAGCCAGUGAGCAUAUUGCGCCACUUCAGGAUGCUGCAGAUCUGGAAAUCGCAACGGAGGAAGAAAACUCGUUGCUGGAAGCCUGGAAAAAGUAUCGGGUGUUGCUGAACCGUGUUAAUACAACAAC